UGCUCAAGCUGAGUGGUCCAAAGGCGUU
rnacentral:piRNA from 1 species